AUAUCUCUGCGUAGAAUAUGUGAGAAAUCGACUCAAUGCAGGAACUUUUAAGGUAAAAUUUUCAUCUCUUUUCUUGAUUCUUUUGUCAUCUUAUUACUGUUUUACAUUUGGAGGAGGGUAAAAAUUUACCCAUUAUCGCUAAUUAAAAACUUAUGUUUGUAUAUUUAAAUCUGCACCCAUUAUCUAAAAGUAGUAGUAAUUGUAGCAGUACUUUGCACUAAAGAUUAAAAGCUUUGAAUUAUUUGUGGGUUUUCCCUUAAAACUGAUGUAGGUCCAAGCAAUUGAAGUAAAACCCAGAAAAGCUGUCCCAUCGGAAAAAACCCUGUAAAGCUAGUACUCACACACUCUUUUUUCAUGAGCAUUUAUAGAUUAUUAUACCUCAGAAUUCCCAUGCUUUUUUUUUGACUAAUUUUGAAGUUGGUGUAUUGAUUUAAGGGAUUCUGAAUUGAAGCAAAUUGGAAAUUCAUGGAUGAGCUUAAACUAUACUUUAUCUCAAUUUUUCAUUUGGCUCGGUGGUGAUUUUGCGAUGAAAAACCAAAGCAAUAACUUUAGGAACUAAAGUUUAAAAAACCUAGUAGAGUCGACACUAGGUAAAUACUUAGCUAGUAUUUAGACAUAGAUUUUAUUGAAACUUGAAAAAAAAGAGUUUUUGAAGUUGUGUUGAAAAAUAAUUUUUGAAAAUUGAAGUUGUAUUUUGGACAUAUAUUUUAUUUGAAGAAAAGUUUGAAGUUUUGUGAGCAAAAGAAAAAAUUUCAUCCAAAAACUGCUCUAAACCAGUUCUUAGGAACUUGAAAUUUUUUGUUUUUUUAUUCAAUACAUGAUCCUAUUUCAUAAACAAACAAUGUUUACAAAUUUUUUUGAAAAAAAGAAGCUAAAAUCUAUUGGAGCUUAACAUUUGUCAAAGUUGUUGUAGAUUAGUUGAGGUGCGUAUAAGUUGGCGCUGUUACCACUAGCUUAGGAGCAAACUUCGUGCGGCCACCUCUAAUCUCUAUGGAGAAAAGCACAAAUACAAAAAUUGAUCAGUGUACUUCAUUGUUUAUCAUUGACUAAUGAUCCUUACCUUUUAUAAUAUAUAUAGUGGGAACUUAAAAGAGCAAGAACAUAAUUGUUAAAAACAAACACAAAGCAAAUUAUGCAGCAGUGGUAAGACAUGCUGCAAUUUUCAUGCCUACACCUUUCUUAUAAUGAUAUCCUUUUAUCUUUUUCCUUUAACAUUCCUUUUCUUUUUAUCCGCUUUGCCAGCUUUUAUGGAUCUGAAUUUUCUCAACAAUAUCUCAUGACAUCUAACAAUAAACUUAUACUAAUAACUAUUCUGGAUGCUUGCAUUAGUUUAUCAGUUUGCCACGAAAUUCAAGAGGACUGCUUACAUUUUGGUUUACUUGUUACUUCAACAAUGAAUUUUGUGAGAAUCAACUAAAACGAAUGGGAUAUUAUUUAUUAUUGAUUAUUUAGUCACUCCACUUGUAUUAUAAAAUGUAGUCAGUACUACUAACUUACAUAUUAUUUAUUAUUGAUUAUUUAGUUGGUUUACUUGUUACUUCAACAAUGAAUUUUGUGAGAAUCAACUAAAACGAAUGGGAUAUUAUUUAUUAUUGAUUAUUUAGUCACUCCACUAUUAUUAUUAAAAGAUGUUUGUUAAUAGCAUCAAGAAUACUAGUGAUGGUUAAAUCCAAGAUAUGGAUUUUUGUUGAGAGAAGAAGUAAUUCUAAGACACUCUUUUAACAAAGUUCUUUUUAUUUCCUUUCAGUUCACAGUAAUUUCUUUAUGUUAUACGCAUUUAAUAAAAUCGUCCUUUCCGGUUGCGCAAUGGUUGAAUAGCUUGGAAUCUGUCUCCCUCCUCGCUCAAAAAUAGAAGACCACAGUACAAGUUUUAAUGGCUCUAGAACUCAGGUAGAGCUGAAAUUCCAAAUGCUAAAUGUGUUAAGAUACACACAACAUUGGCAAACAUUAUGCUUUUUGUUGCAAAAGCUAUGUGUCGUACUUUCUCCUGUAUCUAUAUGUCCUUAAUACUUUGUGGAUGAAGUCCUCUUUUUUGUUUGAUCUCGAUAAUUCCAAUCGAAGUGGUCAGCUGCUGAUAUCAAUUUCAGGAACUGCCUGCCGAUGUGGUCCAAAGUUGACGAGAUUUUAGCACUCAUUGGAAGGCAGAUAAAUUCCAUGCCAUUCUUGAUAAAAAUAGGGAAGUUGGAUUGCUCAUUUUUAUGAAAGAAAAGCAAAGUCAGCUAUCACCUGUUUCAAGUGACAAAAGGGUAAUCGUGCUGAUUAGAAGAUUUAUUCUGUCUUGUGGAGACUAGACAGGUAGAAAAUUCCAUAUGUUUUCUCUAGAAGGAGUUUCACUUAAAUCAGGAGAUUGAUCAUAGUCAAGGAAGGAAGAUAAAGAUGACCGGUUAUUGCUCACAGGGGCUCUUGGAAAGUAUUAAUGAGGAAUCGUUAGAUAUCAUUCUGGCAGAGGAACUGAACUAAGGAUCUACUCUUCCAUGGCUAACAUCUGCAACAGCUCAAGGCUUCAUAUUCCAAGCUAUUGUAUUCUACUUAAAUACGUAAACAGAGUGGAAGUUGUUACUCAAUAUACAAUUAGCUGAAGAAGGUGAUGAUUUAACACUAUUUGGAGUCUUCUCCCUUAAUUAUGUGCAAGGCAAUGCACCUUAUUUGAUUUGAGUUUGUAGUUUACUACCAUAAUCCUUGAUAUUAGUGUGCCUUUUUUUUGAUUUUAUUUAAAAAAUUUUCUUCACUUGAGGGAGUUGGGAUCUUAAGUAACUGCUAGAUUUUGUUUGGUCCCCAGGUCCCUUGACUUUAUGAAUUUAAAAAGCUUAUGGCAAGGAUCAAUCACUGGCUUUUUUAACGAAGAUAUGCAUUUGAGAUUUCAAUUGUCCUGUUGAGGAUUUGUGUGCAUGGGAAUAUGACCAGCUCUAGCUGUUGUAGAAGGUAUGCUGCUUAUAUGCUAAUGUCUGCGGUUUGGUGGUAUUCUUGAAGUGGAGUCUUAGUCUCUUAGUUGCCGAGGUUGGCGAACACUGACUUUCUUCACUAUGUUAUAAACACAUAGGCUUUUGCUGGCUUCACGACUUAAAUCUCAAAAAGAAGAACAAGAAAAUUACUGAAAGAAUACACAUCAAUUUCCUCUUUUUCAAUGUCUAUCUUCAAAGUUAUAAGUCUCUAUUUAACUUUUAAGAGCUUGUGGUCAGAGGAAUUCACCGCUAGCCGUUUGGGUGUGGUCUUAACCAUACUUUACGGGGAAAAUGUGUUGUUGAUGAAAAGUGAUUCCUAUGUGUGGGCUAAUGAUGAUUUGAUUGUCGUAAAGGUUGUGAAAAAAGAGAUAAAGUGUUCACUUCAGAUAUACACUUAUCAGUUUGCACUCUAUAACCAGAUCCUGAGUGCAUGAUGACAAUGUGUGUUUUCGCAUGAUGUAUGUUUUUUACCACUGGAUGUGAUGGUGUUUACGUACCCCUUGCUACCAAAAUGUCAAAAGCCAGUAUGUGAUUAAUGAUGAAGGGGGACAUAAUGCGAAAUGUCAUUUUGAAGUUCUUGAAAUAUACAGAUUCAAAAUUGCUUAUAACCUAACCUGCAUAAACCGUAUGUUUGAGUUUCACUUUUGCUUUUCCUAGACCAACUUCGGAGGUCCCCUGCUGGGCUUAUUCACCUAACCUUUCUUUCUGUUAUUUUGCACUGUUUUCAAAACAUCUGUCAAAAUGUUUUACUUUGUUAAAUUCUUCAAAGGUUUAUGAUUCUUUUUAUGGUUGCAAAGUUUCCUGUGUUCUUUUCUUUUGGUCGCAUAACCGAUAGAACAUCCUGAGUAGUAAAUCCUUGUGCUUUAGGUUGUCAUUGGUAUUGUCCGGAAUGUUGAUUUAUCUGUAGAGUACUCAUUUCAGUUGGACUCAUAUAACCUGACAGCAUCAUUGGUAUAGUCCGGAAUGUUAAUUUAUCUGUAGAGUACUCAUUUCAGUUAGACUCAUAUAAGCUGACAGUUCUGUGCAAAAGGAAGUGCCUUUUCAUACCUUACUAUAGAAAUUCUUAAUAUUAAAAAUAAUUCAAUACCAGUUCACACAGUAAUCCUACUAAAACGAAAAAACUUCUAUACUCUUAUAAUGCAUUAAGAAUAUGCAAUCAUUCUAUAUAUGGUGUAAUAGGGGUCAGCAAAACUAUGCCAGCCACACAAAAGAAAACACCAAAAAUAUAAAUAUAGGUAAUAGUCUUACUAUACUAGCAUUGAUCAUGAUCUCCCUGAAUUCUGUUGCUCGAUGGUUUGCCGACUUGUAAACAAUCAAUUGGAGGUAGAGUAGGAGUAUACAACUCUCCGAACGUCUGCCAACAAUAUGGAUCAUACAUGUGGUAACGCUCUUGUAUUGGCUUUAAUUGGAUAUCCGUCAACGUCACGUCUUGGCAUGGCAUACUGUCACUGCAUGCUAGAUGCACUGGUUUUAAUUGGAUAUCCGUCAAGGUCACGUCUUGGCAUGGCAUACUGUCACUGCAUGCUAGAUGCACUGGUUUUACUGUAUAUGUUCCUCUAAUUCUUUCAAAGUUGAUUCCUGAUAAAGCCACUGCAGAUGUCUGGUUCUUACAUUUGCUCUUGUCGCAAUAGAACUGAUCAAUUACAAUUGGUAGUUGGACUUCUGAAACUUGAAUGUUCGAGAAAAACACUCCUUGUACUGACCCUGACCCUCCCUGCAGUAGUAGAAUCGCACAUUAGUUUUGGUUAUAGAAAAGAUUCGAACUCUAAUUCCUGAAAUCGGAUUUGUAGAAAUAUGUAGUCCAGAAGUAAAAACGUUUUACUGGAUGUUAAGACAACUAAACAUUUGCCUGAGCAUACCUGCCAUGUCUUAAUCCUGACACCAUUCAUUGUGUUUUGCAUAACAACAUCUUUGACCGUAAUGUUAGAAACACAAGCCUUUGUGUUGUCUUUCCCUAGACUUCCAAUGCUGAUUCCAUGUCCUGGUCCACAAUUUAUGUUGUGUACAUACACAUUGGUGCAUCCAGUUUGUAUGGAGACACAGUCAUCUCCUGUACGAAACCAAAAAAGUUUGUCGGUGAGUAUAUUUAGAGUGUACUCACAUUUAAGUUAAAGGACAAAUAUGUGCUUAGCUCUUUCGAUGUUCAAAUUGUCUAUGCUAUCAUAAAUUUUUCAUAUAGGUUUGCAUCUUCUUUUGAUCAGUUUUGGCAUCUACAGAUAAUGAUACAGGACCGAAAUAAAUAACAAAGAUGCAAUUGAACUGAAAUAAUUGACAAAAAGACAAAUUUCCUAUGUGUGGACAAGAUAUAGGAAAUUUACUAGUCUCACCCUAUAAUAUUGAAGUUGCUCUUUUACUAUCUGGACAAGAUCAGUUUUUGCAGGUAGGGUCUUAAAGCUUGUGGUGGUCAAAGUAUAAAUAACAGAUAGGCAGUUUCUAGGUGUUGAAAUGUUAGUGGUUAAAAUUCAAGUAUGUGGUCCUUAUGGAAUUAUCAAAGUGGACAAUAUUCUGGCAUCUUCUCUCAUUUAUCAGUUAUGUUAGUUGUAAAACUUUUCUCUCAAUGGUGAGAGAAUUUUCUUUACACACAGGGGUUUUAAUUUUUGAAGAAAUAGUUGCCUCAAGCCUUUUGGACUGGUUUGUAUUAAUUAGUUGAACUAAAUUCAAUGUAGGAAUUACCACAAGCAAUGUUGGAACUGCGGAUUAGCACGUCUUUGGAGUUCUGU
rnacentral:lncRNA from 1 species